rnacentral:ncRNA from 1 species
AAAAUAAAUUUUUAUAGUUUAAAAAAUUUAUUAUAAAUUUAUUUUACAUAUAAAUUUUAGUAAAAUUUAAUAUAUUUAAAUAAUAUUUUAUUUUAUAGUGUAGUAAUUUAUAUUAAAAAAUUAAGUAAUUAAGAUUUAGUAAUAUGAAAAUUAAUAACAAAUUUUGUGCCAGCAGUUGCGGUUAUACAAAAAUUAAAUUAAAUUUUUUUAGUAAUUAAUAAAUAAAAAUUUAUCUUAAAUUAAAUUUUAAAUUAUUAAGUGAAAUUUUAAUUUAAUAAAAAUUUAUUUUAUAUUUAUGAUUUAAAAAAUUUUAUAAAAAACUAGGAUUAGAUACCCUAUUAUUAAAAUUUAAAUUUAUAAUACUAAAAUAGUAUAUAAUUAUUUAUUGAAACUUAAAUAAUUUGGCGGUAUUUUAGUUCAUUUAGAGGAAUCUGUUUAAUAAUUGAUAAUCCACGAAUAAAUUUACUUAAUUUAAAAUUUUAUAUAUCGUUGUUAAAAAAAUAUUUUUUUAUAAAAAUAAUAUUUUAAAAUUUUUAUUAAAAUUUAAAUCAGAUCAAGAUGUAGAUUAUAAUUAAGAAUAUAAUGGAUUACAAUAAAAUAAUUUAAACGAAUAUUAAUUUGUAAAAAUUAAUUUAAGGUGGAUUUAAAUGUAAUUUUAUUUAAUUUAUUAAAAUGAUUAAAAAUUAAAAUAUGUACAUAUUGCCCGUCGCUUUCAUAUAGAAAAUUGAAAUAAGUCGUAACAAAGUAGAGGUACUGGAAAGUGUUUCUAGAAAGAU